ACGUUACAAGUUUCGUAGUUGACUUUGAAAUUCUUAUAGUAUUUUUUAAAAUCUUGAUAUGAUGAAGAUAAUGUCUAUAUAUGAAGUAAAGAGAGAGCAGUUGCAUGUAUGAAGAAAGUAGUUGUCGAUUACAAUUAUUGAUCGGAGCUUAAUCAUGGGAAGAGGAGGCGGCCGCCGGCGAUGUGGAGAGCCCCGCGAAGGGCGUAGUAGUGGCCUCAUAUCCCCAAAACCAUCAGCCGAUGCAGAUGCAACCUCAGUUCGUCGGAAGGCCGUGGACCACUGGCCUAUUUGACUGCCAUCUCGACCAAACUAAUGCUGUGAUGAUGGCGUUUUUACCUUGUGUGACGUUCGGACAGACAGCAGAGGUUUUGGAUGCAGGGGAAAUGAGUAAGCCUUUUACAUACCACAACAUACAUAAAAGGAUAUAUUAUUAAAUGCGAAUUUAUUAAAAAAGAAAGGAAAAAAACCUAAAAACCCUUGAAAGCACAAGAGAGCAGACUAAGGGCCGCGCCUUAUUAAAACCUUUUCACGGGAAACCCAGUGGGAAAACCCGAGAAAAGGAAAAAUAGUACCCGUCUAAAAGAAGAAAGCAAAAGAGGAGAAGAGCGGAAGGGAAAGUUUCCUGAACUCUGGCCUAACCAUCGUCCCCAAGCAAUCCCGGCUCUCCUCCAAAGAAAACCAACAAAGCAAAAGCAAAAGGCCGGUGAGACGCCGUCGCCAAAAUGCCAAACAACAAAAGUCAAACUACACGGCCGGUUAGACUCCGUCGCCGGUAGCUCUCUCAAAACCCAAGCAGAACUAAGGCAAAGGGCCGGUGAGACGCCGUCACCACAAUGCCAAUCAACAAAAACGAAGCUAUAAAUUUUCUCCUCUUAAUGUUAUAACGAAGCUAUAGUUUCAUAAAAUAAGUGAUGAGAUUAAAUAAUACGUGUGAUAAUGAAGAAAAUGUUUUUCACAAAAUAAAGGUCAACAAAUAAGUGUUAAUAGGCACAAAUGCCCUAUUCCUUAUGUUGUAUAUGAAAAAUGCCCUACUUUAUAAACUUAAGUAUUUUAUGCUCUAAUUAUAU